AAUGAUCGGGAUUUCCCUCAGAGUUAAUACCUACGGCCAAACUGACAGACGUGUUCCCUGAUUGUAGGAGCCUGGAAUUCGGUGCUGUACACAGAACCGUGUAACUCUCAGCCUAAGAGUACUCAGCGACACUCUUGGCAUUUCUGUGUAGUUGUACAGGUCAGAGUUGCAGUAUCACCGUGAUGAUAUCGGGAGUGGCUAAUAAACUGUAUGCUACAUGUAGAUACCAGAGUAUGGAAGAUGUCAAACUCACUGCUGCCAUCAAAUCAACCUGUUCACUGACCAAUAUAAAGUACAACUGGACAGUUUAUUGGUAUUAUAGCUUCUCUAAAAAAUGGCUGAAUUUGGAGCUUCUUGAUAAUACUCUACCAACUCUUCACAUUCAGAAAGAUGACCUACAUGAAAUAGAUGGAAGUCAAACAACAAAAGGAAUUUAUGCUGUCGAUCUUGGUGUUUCUGUUAAUCUGGGAAGGAUUCUUGUUAGACAAAGUUUAAGGCUCGAUUCCAAUUUUUGGCUUAUCCUAGAAUAGGCAAGCCAUACAUGUACAAUACAUGAUUCUCUCUAGCAGCUGGAUUGACUAGUCACCACAAUAAUUUCAUAACAGCAAUGAAACUCUAGACAAUUUUGAUGUUUUGAAGAUAUUUACAUGUAUACAUAUCUACAGAUAUGACCAAAUUUGAAGAUUUUUACCAGGUCUCAUCCUGUCGACUAGUCAGACAAAUUUUGGUUCAGGUUUCUGACAGGAAUUAUUACAAAAUUGCCUGCAGUUACAACACAUAAAUAUUAUUUGUUAUUAAGUUUGCCUAUCGGUCCAGCUAUUGUUAGAGACUGUCUAACGAUACUUUCAGAACUAUGAUAUGUCAGAAUCUGUGUAACCGUUACUACAAACAGAGAUAUAUUAUUGCACACUAAGAAGUAUACCUAGUUAUCAGAAACUUUUUGCAUGAAGUUAUAUAAAGAUAGUUGGUAUUCAUAAUAUUGAUGCAUUGUGCAGAAACAUGAAAUAUGUUAGUUUGUAUACUUGACAAUCCAAUGGCUGUUAAAUUGUAACAAGGAGAAUUACUAAUUACGCAGCAGUAUUUCGAUUAUGGAUUUUUAUGCCCCACCUACGAUAGUAGAGGGGCAUUAUGUGUUUCAGUCUGUUUGUUCGUUCGUUUGUCCGUCCGUCUGUCCCGCUUCAGGUUAAAGUUUUUGGUCAAGGUAGCUUUUGAUGAAGUUGAAGUCCAAUCAACUUGGAACUUACAUGUUCCCUAUAAUAUGAUACAAUGUAUUUCUAAUUUUAAUGCCAAUUUAGAGUUUUGACCCCAAUUUCACGGUCCGCUGAACAUAGAAAAUGAUAGUGCGAGUGGGGCAUCUGUGUACUAUGGACACAUUCUUGUUUUCAAUUUUUUUAUUUACUGAAUACAUUUUUGUCACUUGUUUUUAUAUCGUCAACAAUAGCGUCAACAA